rnacentral:lncRNA from 1 species
UCAUCUUAGGUACCCAAGUUUUCUUGGGUCCUUCAUGGUUAGUCAAGUUGGUUCCUUUUGGAACCCAUACCCUUUUAUUUUUUCUUUUAGUUUUACUUUUCCAAAAAUUACAUGCAUUUGCUUUAUGUCCUACUAUUCCACAACAAAAGCAAGUUAUUUUCUUAAUUUUAGUUUUCCCAGCUUUAACAAAGAAGUUACUAAGAAGUUUUUGCUUAUUCCUUGGUUUAUACCCUAAGCCCGCUUUAUUAAAUACUGCACGUUGACUAUUUAGUAUCAUGUUUAAUUUUUCAGAACUAUAUGUAAAUUUUUCAACUAGGGGUUUGUAUUUGUUAAGUUCUUUAGUUAAUGUCUGAUUUUCUGCUUUUAACUCAUUUAGUUCUUUUGUUAGAUCCUUGUUUAAGACUUGUUUAUGGUUUGAAAGUUCCUUAGUUAGUUUUUCAUUAUCUUUAGUUAAGGUAUUAGUUUUCUUAAUUAAGAGUUGGUUGCUUGUUUUUAGUUCUAGAUUUUCUUUGGUAAUAGCAUCUUUAUCCUUAAUUAAAGAGUC